UACGUAGGGUGCAAGCGUUAAUCGGAAUUACUGGGCGUAAAGCGUGCGCAGGCGGUUCGCUAAGACAGAUGUGAAAUCCCCGGGCUUAACCUGGGAACUGCAUUUGUGACUGGCGGGCUAGAGUAUGGCAGAGGGGGGGUGGAAUUCCACGUGUAGCAGUGAAAUGCGUAGAGAUGUGGAGGAACACCGAUGGCGAAGGCAGCCCCCUGGGUUAACACUGACGCUCAGGCACGAAAGCGUGGGGAGCAAACAGG
rnacentral:rRNA from 1 species